rnacentral:misc_RNA from 1 species
ACCUUUGCUUUAGCUCUGGACAUAGUAGAAAAUGUCACCACUGCGUCCGUUUGUAUUGCUGUCCCUUUUUGGAGUUGGCCUAGCAAGCUUUAACUGCUUGAACCCCGGCUAUGACUGCAAGAACAAUGGCCUGUGUGACUAUUUUGGCCGCUGUAAAUGUCCCCCGGGAUACCAAGGUUACGAUUGUGGACUAGAUUCCUCCACCAUUUCCAGUUCUGCAGAUUGUCGGGCAACAUGGUCAAAGUUCAAGGUUAUCAGCCACUGACCUUCCGUGGCGAAAUGUACCUUAAGCAGAGCAUGUUUAGCUGUCAGCUCAGGGAAAUGGUUUCCGAUAUUCCGGGAAUGAGACUGUUUGAAUUGGAAAUCCCACAUCGGGCUAUCACACCCUGCGCCCUUACAAAAACUCAAAACAAUGAGACUGGGGACACGAUAUAUGAGGUAGAGGUCGCUACCUCCCACAACAAGGGGUUCUUCAGCAUGUCUGACACUGUGCAUUCCGUCAACUGUGUCUACGAAGCCAGGCGCAUUGGAGAAAACCCGAAGGAUGUUACCAAGGCCAUGAACCCGUUCAAAGUGACGCUCAUGAACGACAAUAAUGAACCACUUCAGCAGGUUCAGCGCGGGGAUCCCUAUUUCUUCAAUGUUGAAAGUAGCGGUAAAUUUCCAGAUAUGAAAGGUACUCGAUUGAGUUAUCUGGAAGCUUAUUCCGUUGACCAACAGACAGGGAAUGUGAAAUCUGUAAAACUAAUAGAAGACGAGUGCCCGGUUAGAAGUACAAUCACAGAUUACGCAGUAUCCAUCUCCAAUGAAGAGAAUUCCAGGGCCGGUUCCUUCAUAGGCAGGGGGAAAAUCGAGAGCUUUAACAUUCUAGACCAAGAACCAAUCCGUUUGGACUACCGUGCCAAAAUCUGUAAAGGCCAAUGCAGACAGGCUGUGUGUAAUUCUCCUACACCCAUGCGAAUACCAAGAAAGACACCAUUCGAGCAUUUGAUGAACCCUAUUGACAUUGUGUAAUUGUGUACCCUUGCAAUUCUGUUAUUCCAAACUUCAUACUCAUAAACUCUGUACCCAGGAAUGAGCCAGUAGGCUUUUCCCCCUUUUGUUACUAUCAAGUCAUAUGGAAAUAAGAAUUCUAAUUUGUUUGAAUAACGUUUCAUUUUGUAAACUACAAACAAAGAAUUUAUGAUUGAAUGUCUGCUUAAUAAACAACUUAUUGCGGUUCUAUAUAUACUUGAACAAAAUAUGUGGUAUAGGUUUAAACAAUGUUGUGAAUGUUUCUAAAUAUUUUUAUAAGUGGGAUACACGCAUCAAUUCAUUUUAAUACGAAUAGUGAUUUGCAUGCGAUUAAUAUAAGUGAGUGUUGGAAAAUACAAUUCCAUCUCUUAAUUCUAGAUCUAUUGGUAUAUAUAUAUGUUUCCUCUCUGGUCGUUAUAAACUGGUUUUUGUUUUGUUACAUGUCACCAGUGAUUUUUUCCUCGCUUUUUCUUUACAAUAUUGUUACGCAUGUUUCGCAAGAAUGCCACACAAUAGCAAUAAAUUACUGUGUUUCCACAUG